AUGUCCAUGAGCACGGCGAAGCUCGUCAUGUGGUUGCACUGGCAGCUGACGUGGCUCUGGUUCCGGAACACGACCUCGCAGCCCCGCGCCGACCAGCCGCCCGCGCCGCCCGCCCUGCGCGCCCGGCAACGUGGGGCCCGGCACGGGGCGGGGGGGGACGGCCCGUGUUGGGGACACACCCGGGGACACCCCAUGCUGGGGCUGCCCCCCUCACCGUGCCCCUGCCACCCCAGGCUCGUGUCCCCAGGCUCAGGGCAGCCACCCCCAAGCCCCGUCCCCACACCACCCACCUGCACCACUGGCACCAGGGCAGCCACCCCCAAGCCCCGUCCCCACGCCACCCACGGGGACGGGCUGCACAGCACAGCCCCAGCCCCUCGCCACCCUCCCGUCACCCCACGGACAGCGCCGUCCCCUCCCCGCAGUGCCCACCCCGCGUCCCCAUCCAGCCCCGUGUCCCCGUGCCACCUCCCCCCGGGGGUGCCAGGCCACCCCCUCCCUGUCCCCCGCUCACAGCAGCGAGUGGUUCCAGAAGACGCAGAUGGGCUUGGAGCGCUCCUGGGUCUCCAGCAGGCGGAACUGCAGCGUGAUCGGCUUCUCCAGCGCCCGUGGCGCCCGCCCUGCCGCCGCGUGCACGCUGAUGCUCACCACCGGCGUAUUGAUGAUGGGCCGCUUGGGCACCCUGCGGCACAGUGCGGUCAGGGCCAUGGGUACCCACCCCACAACCCCACAUGUCUAUGCAGCAGCCGCAGGCAGCCCUGUCCAGCCCCUCCCUGGGGACACUCAGGCACCCUGUGUGUGUCCCUUGGGGGCUGCCCCGUGUCCCAGCACCCCCCAGCUCCCUGCCUUGCCCUAGCACCCUAUGGACACCCUGUGCACCGAUGCUUGGGCACCCCACAGCACUCCCCCUACCCCCUGUGCUCCCCGUGUCCCAGACCCCUCCCAGUGCCCUUAGUGGCCCCCAGGGCCCCGCGGCCAUGGCACCUGAGGCUGCGCUUGUCGGUGUCGUACUGCUCGGGCAGGAGCCCGGCUAGGGUGCGGUAG
rnacentral:lncRNA from 1 species